CCAGAUUGAAUGUAUAAAUUAUUCCGAUAUUUUAUAUUGCUCUGUUUAUCAUCCGGGUUAUUAGGAAAAAUGACAGACUUUAAGUACGCUGCCGAACUGAUUGAGACUGCACGUGGUAUUGCUUCCGCGGGAAAGGGAAUUCUAGCAGCCGAUGAAUCAACCGGCACCAUCGGUCAAAGAUUC
rnacentral:ribozyme from 1 species